AGAGCAGAUCAGGCAAUCGCGGCGCGCAAGCGGCGAGGAAGGUCCGGACUCCAUAUAGCAGGAUGGCGGCUAACGACCGUCCGGCGAUCGUCCCGUGCGCAAGCAUGGGGCGCGAAGCCGAGGAACAGGGCCACAGAGACGAGUCUGCGGCGAGGGCGGAUUUCGAUCCGCACCGGCACGGCAUCUCCGUGCUGCGCGUUCGGGUCACCCCGGGCGCGGCGCAGCAGGGUGAAACGCGGCAACCUCCAUCCGGAGCAACACCAAAUAGGCAUGCAUGCGGCCCCCGGGCCGUGGAGGGCGGCUAGUUCGCGCAUGCGGGUAGGUGGCUUGAGCUGGCCAGCAAUGGUCCGCCUAGAGGAAUGAUUGCCCGCGGGGCGACCCGUGUACAGAAUCCGGCCUAUCGAUCUGCUUUGCCU
rnacentral:RNase_P_RNA from 1 species